rnacentral:misc_RNA from 1 species
CAACCCUCAAGCCUAGCUUGGUGUUGGGUGUCACUGCUAUAGUGUUCCCUAAAAUCAGUGGUGGUGCCAUUCGGCCUCAAGUGUAGUAAUACUUCUCGCUUUGGAGGCUAGGAUGUGCGCUUGCCAGCAAUCACUUUUUUUUUAAAGG